AUAUCUUUGAGCUGUGGCAGUGCUCAAUCUUGACUCUUUAUUGCCCCUGAAACAUUACGAGUCUCUAAUGAUGAUUUUUUUUAUUUCCUGUAGAAUUUGAGGAUGAUCCUGAUCUUUUAUGUGCUGAAACCAAUCAAGUAUGUGGGCAUUGAAGUGUGGCAGGUGAAGGCCGGUUCAAUUUAUGACAACAUCUUAAUUUGUGACGACCCACAGUAUGCAAAGCAAGCUGUGGAAGAAUUUAUGAUUAAUAAUAGAGAGUUGAGAAACAAAUCAGAGGAUUCUGUACUGUUGAAGAGGAGAAGUUGAUGGUCAACACAUUGAAGUUUAACAUAUCUGUGCCAAAAGCAUACAUUUUCAUUAGAAGGUUCCUAAAGGCAGCUCAAGCAGACAGAAAAG